rnacentral:rRNA from 1 species
GAGUGGCGAACGGGUGAGUAUAACAUCGGCACAUUUCCUGUAGUGGGGGAUAGCCCGGCGAAAGCCGGAUUAAUACCGCAUACGAUCUAUGGAUGAAAGCGGGGACCUUCGGGCCUCGCGCUAUAGGGUUGGCCGAUGGCUGAUUAGCUAGUUGGUGGGGUAAAGGCCUACCAAGGCGACGAUCAGUAGCUGGUCUGAGAGGACGACCAGCCACACUGGGAUUGAGACACGGCCCAGACUCUUACGGGAGGCAGCAGUGGGGAAUUUUGGACAAUGGGCGAAAGCCUGAUCCAGCAAUGCCGCGUGUGUGAAGAAGGCCUUCGGGUUGUAAAGCACUUUUGUCCGGAAAGAAAUCCUUGGUUCUAAUAUAGCCGGGGGAUGACGGUACCGGAAGAAUAAGCACCGGCUAACUACGUGCCAGCAGCCGCGGUAAUACGUAGGGUGCGAGCGUUAAUCGGAAUUACUGGGCGUAAAGCGUGCGCAGGCGGUUUGCUAAGACCGAUGUGAAAUCCCCGGGCUCAACCUGGGAAUGCAUUGGUGACUGGCAAGCUAGAGUAUGGCAGAGGGGGGUAGAAUUCCACGUGUAGCAGUGAAAUGCGUAGAGAUGUGGAGGAAUACCGAUGGCGAAGGCAGCCCCCUG